rnacentral:lncRNA from 1 species
UGGAACUUGGUGGGGACAGGGCCACACUGCCUGAUAGGGAGCUCCCCUCCCUGCCUGGGCUUGCAGGUGCCUCACUCUGGUCUCUGCCUCUGUCGUCCCUUGAUGUCCUCCCUGUGUCUCUUCUCACUUCUUAAAGGAACACCAGUGGUCUUAGAUUAGGGCCAUUCUAAUGUCUUCCUCUUUGCUUGAUUACAUCUGCAAAGAUCCUCUUUCCAGAAGGUUUUAAAUAGUGCUUUAGUCACUUGCACAGGGGUUUAAACAUAUCUUUUGGGGGCACAGUCCAGCCCCUAACAGGUUUCCCUGCCUGAGUGGAUGCGCUGUCCCCUGAGUUGGUGGCAGGCACCGCUGUCCUGUGGCCUGCUGCCCUCGUGCUCACGGUUCCUCCCUGAAUCUGAUCACACUGUUGACACUGACAAUCCUGCAGACUUCAGAUCCACUAGGGAAGGAAGUGUGUGCCAGGGAGGUGUUUAAGUUUUUUUAAAAUCCAGUGUCUCCCAGGAGUGAAGACAUUCUUGUGUGUGAAUGUCACUUUGAAAUGAAUCCACACUCACAGGAAGUAGCCGGCCUGCCUGCCCACACUGCCAUGGAAAUACAUGGACCUUCUCAGCUGAGUCUGCGUAUCAGGAGACAUGGACUGACCUCUGCCUGUCCCGGCAAUGGGGGUUGUUUGUGAUUCCUACAUCAGUGACCCUGGCAUGGUGAUUCGGGAUGCUAUAGAAGGAAAAGCCCAGCAGCACAGAAAUGAAAGGAGAAAAAUGCUACCCAUGGAGCUCAUUUCUGAGUACGUGCAAAAUCCGUGUCUGAGCUGCCACACAACAUCGCCGUCUCUCAGGGGGACAUUUUGGACUUUGCAUGAAUAAGCACACAUCUGAGAAAAAUUAAAAAGUAGUUAACUUUUUUCAGUGAAUAACAAAUAUGAAGAUUUUUUUAAAGUAGCAAAUCAUAUACUGAUGAGAUGUGUGAAUGUUAAGGAAGUUCACUGUGCUGGAGUAAGCCUUCCCUGCAGUUAUUUUGGGAUCCCACAUAUUUCUGGCUGUUUAGAACAGAGGUGGAGGUUUUGAUUUCUCCCUGCUGUUAGGUCCUAGCCAGAGAGUGGUGAAAAUCAUCUGGGU